CGCAACAUUUGCACGGAAUCCCCCCCCCGCCACACACACACACCUUGUUUAAAAAUAGAAAAAAAGUGGGAAAAAAGCAGUGAAACCCCGCGGGGCGGGAAGAGCGGGAAGAACCCGCGGGGUUGCUCCGCACAGGCGCGUUGUGGAGAGGAGCGGGGCGGGAGUGGCGGGAAACUGGAACCGGCGGCGGUGUGUGGCAAUGAGUGCGCUAGAGCAGCGCGGCCGUGCCCGCAAGCAGAGGGGGAUCCAUGCGGAUAGUUACAGAUGAUGUGUGUGUCCAUGCAUGUUAACACGCCUCAAGACCGGUAGCCCGGCAGGAAGCACGGCAAACCCCAGCAAAGCCCGCUUCGCGCCGGGCGCCUCAGCCAGCGUGCAAAGCCAGACACCACGUGACGCCGCGCAGAGCCCGCCAGACCGCGCACGUGGCAGGCAUGCCGCGGCCUCGUGAGCUGCAGCAGAACGGCACGGGGUGAUUGGCUGGGGCGUGUCACUCCCCGCCAAUCAGGAGACGGCAGGAGGAAAGUUUCCCCCCACGUGCCCCAGAGACAAGGUGAGGAAGAGGCGCUGAGGGGGACUGACCCCUCCCCCGAGGUUUCCUAUUGGUCCCCCAUCAGGGGCGGGGCCUCCAGAAGGAAUAAAAGGCCGCGUGCGGCGCACGUGGGCGGAUUCGACGAUUGGCUGCGGUGGCGGAGGGCAGAGAAGAGCUGGUAGAGCUGGCCAGCGGGGGGGAGCGGUAACCCCAGAAGUGCCCUGAAGCGGCAGCGGCGUCUGCCUCACUGCAGCACGAGGAGGGCGGAGAAGAGCUGGUCAGCGGGGCGGGGGGGAGCGGUAACUCCGGAAGAUCUGAAGAGGCAGCGGCGCCCCGAGGAGGUGAGGCGGAGCCCCCCUGCCCGCUCUGUGCCGGGGGGGGGCACGUGGGCUGCAGUUGGGGACCUACGGCCCCUCUGCAGGCCCGGGGCUGUGAAAGGCUGUGGGGAGUGACGUCCCGAGCCACGUGGGUGCUGCGUGGCUCGUAGCACCUGUCAAGCACCGGUGACCCGCGGGGCGGGCAGCGGCCGGGCUUGCAUGCUUCCAGUCUUUCCCUGAAGGCACCAUUUGGGGGCAGUGGGCGAGGUCCCCGGGCCUCGGCUGCAGCUUUUCCUUAAGGUGUUCUUCAGGGGGGCGGAGGCUCAGGUCCGUAGUCACCUCCACUGCCCCCUUAACGUGUCAUUUGGGGGGGCGGCGGGCAGGGCUGGUUUGUCUCUGCGCGCGGUCCUUUCUUAAGGCAUGAUUUGGGUCUGCAGUGGGGAGGGCCGGAGGACCCCCGCAGUCCUCCCUUAGGGUGUCAUUUGUGGGGGGCAGCGGCAAGGUCCGUAGGCCCCCACUGUCCUCCCUUCAGAUACCAUUCGGGUUGGCAGUGGGUCUGGUCUGAACCCCUGUAGUUCUCACUUACUGCCUUUCGGGGGGGGCAGCGGGCCAGGCCCGUCGGGCUUGGCCCGCGGCCCCUCCUUAAGGCAUCACUUGGGGCUGCAGUGGGGGAGGGCCUGGAGGUCGCCGCUGUCUGCUCUCGGGGUCAUCUUGCCGAGCUGUGGUGUGGUGCUGCCCUGCUCGCAAACGGGUCAAGCACUGACAGUCUUUCACACCCCCAAGCCCGAGCUACGGUGUGGUGCUGCCUAGCUCUGUGGGCGGUCAAGCACUGGUGGUCACUUGAGGGGGCUUGUGCCCUCUCAAGGCCAUCCCAUGGGGAAGCACGAGCACAGGGGGUACCGCUGAAGAAAACCAGCAGAGAAGACGACGCAAAAGCAGGUGUGAGCCGGCCUGCUAUUUAAUGGACAAAUAAAAUUGAUCUGCCAGGCACCUCCUUGGUGUCUGGUACCUUUCAUCUCCAAGUUCAUCCUUCCCCGCUGCGCUGUUUCUCUCCUCUUCUCUCCUGUUAUUUCGCAUCCAAGUUUCCCCACCCGCUGCCCCCUUCAAUUUCUGCAGUGGUUCCCUUGUAACCACUGUGUGUGUCCUGAGUGUGCGCUGAGUGUGUCGGAGCUGGUCGUCCAGGAUGCUGAAUCCCUUGCUGAAAAGGGAUUGAUGGAAGACAUCGCUUGCCUGGACCGGCCACCUGAGGCUGCAGCCCCGAAUCCCGCGAGACCGGUCCCCUUUGAAGGUCGAUGCGCAUCGCCCCAGGAAGGACAAGCAGACGGGAUGGCAGGCGAGCAGCAGUGAGCUGACCAGGAGGGAAGAAGGCCAGGCCAGCCAAACAGGAGGUAAAGGCCUCGGAAGAACGGGAAGGAGACGCGGAUGGGGAAAGCAGAGGGGAAGAGGCGAGGUAGGAGAAAAGCCAGUCAGAGAAACAGGAUGUGAAGGAAAGGGACUCUGGACAGAGUGGCAUCCCUGCCUUCAGGUCUCAAUCAUGUCUUAGCCAAAUUUCGGCUUUGUGAGCCUUUGGGCGAGCUCCCUGUAACUCAGAAACGAGUCUCUGCCCUUGAUGUUGUUGCACUUUUGCAGCAGUCAGGUGGAAGGCGGACAACCCUGUAAUCGAGGUGUGUCACCACCACCAUGUUUGUAAAGGCCGCGGAUCUGGUUAGUGGUCUUGCACAGCACAGUCCCACCCUGUCAUCAGUCGAGGCCAGCUGUCAGACUUGGCUGCCAGUUGCACAGCAACCCGUAAGUGGGGUGCGUGCUGCUUUCUAACAUGAGAAAAAAUGUCUAGCGCUGGACAUCCUGUAAUUGGGAGUCAAAGUUCACUGCUAUUCCUGGCCAGUCGAAGAGGAGCCCCUGUAAGCAGAGUGGACGUAGCCGCCUUCCACUGGCCUUAGAGAGCUGGAGCAGUUUGCAGUGUUGUGCCGCAGGGCGGUCUUGCACACCAGAGCCGAGCCUCAUGGGGUGACAGCCAACUCUUUAGACCCCAGAACUUGAUGACUUUCCCGUGGUCUGGGUUGAAGUCUGUGGCCUCCUCUCCCCCUGUGUCCAGGCACCUGUCCUUUUUCAUGCAUCUGUGUCUGACUUCACGUCUGGACUCCUGGGCCGCCCUGUAACAAGGGUGCAAGUCCCGUGCCUCUGGUGGAAGGCUAAAUAGCGCAGAGCAGUGGACAUCCCUGUAAGCAGGGUGCAGCUCUCUCUCACUUUGGGGACAGCCCUGUCCUUUGCCUGGCCUGGUGGCCCCCCCUGUAAGUAGGGCUGUGGUCCUCUCCCUUUUGCCCGCUGUGGGCAGCCUGACUAGCCAGGCGGGCCGUGCCCUGUAACGAGGGCGCCGGUCUCAGCCUUGUCGCCCCCUGGGAGCGGAGGAGGAUUUUCAGUGUAAGGCUCGAGGUCAAGCAGUUCGCAGCAUCGAACUCCUUUCCAGCUUGGGAACACUUUUUACCCUUGUGAGAGUGUGGAGAGCGAGAGAGAGGAGCGCCUGGGAGCGAAAGCGUUUGUUAUUUUCUUUUUGUUCUUAAAAUCGCUGCAGCGUACUUUGUUUUCUUCCCAGUGCUGGAAAAGGGGUGAGAUGCGUCCUCGUAGCCUUCUCCUCCCACCUCCAUACCUAGGGGGACGGAUAUCCAGGCCUUUUGGUCUUGGGGAGCAUUAGGCCCCCUCUCUAAUAAUUUUGGGCACACGGCCUCCCUGUAGUUCGGGGUACAGGCCUUAGGCCCCCUCUUUUUGGGGUCCUUUGGGCACUUGGUAGUUCGAUUGCAGUUCCUGCUCUCCUUGAGAGACAGCCACGUGUUCCCCAGCUGAGUCCCUGGGGACGAGUGCCCUGGCACUUGGCCAGCCCUUGCUCUGCGCCCCCGCCCCCAGUCUGCAGCCUGUAAGCAGGGUCCAGGCCCCCUUGCUUCUCCGGGUCGGGUCUCAUCCCACUCGGUGAGGUUGGCCACAGAUGAUCCCCACAGACUGCAGCGAAGGUUGCAGGCUUGUGGAGGAUACUGGGUGCGCUGGGACUCCUGACGCUUCGUGACCUUCCUGUAACUCAGGUCCAGGUCUCUGCUCUGCUGCUCCUGGCACCAUUGAGAUGGUCUCCUCUCACACCCUGUAAACAGGGCUGUGCCCCGCCCAACCCCUCUGACCUUGUGGGAGGAGGCCUCCUUUAGCCCUUUGGGCUCUUGUGCCCAUCAUGAUAGGUGGCUGAAGCCAUAACCUUUGUGUCCCCAGACACAGGGCUGCUUUGAGCCCUGAUUGAGACCACCUGAGGCACCCGUCAGCUGGCAUUCAGGGCUUUACAGGUUUUCUCUGGGCUUCAUGCCCCGCAGCCAGCUGUGUGCAGCAAGCACCGCCCUGUAAGCAGGGUUGCCGGUGUCUGUGGUCACCUUCAUGGUGCCGUCCUAGCACUUCUGUCCAGAGUCCUGGCCCGUUGCACUCUGCUCCUGGCUGGCCCAGAUGUCGGCAGCCCAGACCACAGACAUCUGACGUCCCCCAUCUCCACGGAUAGAGGACAGAUCAGCACCAGAUUCAGGCCCUGAUAGGAGCAGCUGGAAAGAUGGCGCACAAGCAGGAGUCAGCGGACAAGGAGGGAGGAAAACCAUGCAAAGCUGCCAGAUGGACGAGCAGCGGGCGAACCACACCAGGGCGGAAAGCCAGGAAAAUGGGAUGCGAAGGGAAAGGACUCUGGACGGAGUGAUCUCCCUGCCUUUAAGUAUCAGUCAUGUAUUAGUCAAAUUUUGGCUGCAUGAGCUCUCUGUAACGCAGUAACAAGCUUGUGCGUUUGAUGCUGUUCCGCUUCUGCGGCAGUUGGGUGGAAGUGGACAACCCUGUAAGCAAGGUGUGUGUCACCGCCACCUCCUUUGUAAAGAGUGUGGAUCUACUCAGUGGUCUUGCGCAGUGGGGCUGCCCUGUAAGCGGGGCCCGGGCCAGCUGCCAGACAUGACUGCCAGGGGCGCAGCCUCCUGUGAGUAGGGUGUAUGGUGCGUCUUACUGUGUAAGAAAGACAGGCAGUUUGAAUGUCCCUAGCAUUGGACGUCCUGUAAUUGGGAGUCAAAGUCCACUGCUGUUCCCAGCCAGUCGGAGAGGAGCCCCUGUAAGCAGGAUGGACGUAGCCUCUUUCCACUGGCAUAGACAGCCGGAGCAGUCUGCAGCGCUGUGCUGAAGGGCGGCCUCGCAUACUGGAGCCGAGUCUCGUGGGAUGACGGCAAACUCCUUAGACCCCAGAGCUUGAUGACCUUCCCGUGGUCUGGGUUGAAGCCCGUGGCCUCCUCUCUGAUCCUUGUGUCCAGGCACCUGUCCUUUUUCAUGCAUCUAUGCCUGGCACUCCACAUCCAGACAGCUGGGCCACCCUGUAAGGAGGGUGCGAGUCCCACAUCCCUUGGUGCAGGGUUAGAUUGCGCAGAGCUGUGGACCCCCCUGUAAGCAGGGUCCAGGUCUCAGUGUGCCUUUGAGGGCAGCCCUGUUCUUGGUCUGGCUGUGGGCCCCGCCUGUAAGCAGGGCUGUGGGCCUUUCCCUUUUGCCCCUCUUGGGCAGUGUGGCAAGUGAGAUGGACUGUGCCCUGUAAGGAGGGUACGAGUCCCACGUUUCUUGGUGGAGGGCUAAAUUGUGCAGAGCUGUGCACCACCCUGUAAACAGGGCCCAGGUCUCUAUGUGCCCUUGGGCACAGCCCUGUCCUUUGCCAGGCCUGACCGCCCCCUCUGUAAGCAGGGCUGUGGGCCUUUCCCUUUUGCCUGUCUUGGGCAGUGUGGCAAGUGAGACGGACCAUGUCCUGUAACGAGGGUGUGAGUCCCGUGUCUCUUGGUGGAGGGCUAGAUUGCGCAGAGCAGUGGACCACCCUGUAAGCAGGGUCCAGGUCUCAAUGUGCAUUUGGGGACAGCUCUGUCUUUUGGCUGGCUGUGGCCCUCCUUGUAACCAGGGCUAUGGGCCUUUCCCUUUUGCCCCUCUUGGGCAGUGUGGCUAGUCACACGGACUGUGCCCUGUAAUGAGGGUACGAGUCCUGUGCAUCCUGUUGCACGCCUAGGUUCUGCAGAGCUGUGGCCUGCCCUGUAAGCAGGUUUCAGGUCUCUACGUGCCUUUGGGGACAGUCCUGUCCUUUGCCAGGCCUGACGGCCCCCCCUGUAAGCAGGGCUGUGGUCCUCUCCCUUUUGCCCGCCGUGGGCAGCCUGACUAGCCAGGUGGGCCGUGCCCUGUAACGAGGGUGCUGGUCUCAGCUUUCUUGCCCCCUAGGAGCGGAGGAGGAUUUUCAGUGUAAGGUUGGAGGUCAAGCAGUUUGCAGCAUCGAUCUCCUUUCCAGCCUGGGAACACUUUUUACCCUUGUGAGAGUGUGGAGAACGAGAGAGAGGAGCGCCUGGGAGUGAAAGCGUUUGUUAUUUUCUUUUUGUUCUUAAAAUCGCUGCAGCGUACUUUGUUUUCUUCCCAGUGCUGGGAAAGGGGCGAGAUGCGUCCUCGUAGCCUUCUCCUCCCACCUCCUCACCUAGGGGGACGGAUUUCCAGGCCUUUUGGUCUCAGGGAGCAUUAGGCCCCCUCUCUAAUACUUGGGGGCACACGGCCUCCCUGUAGUUUGGGGUACAGGCCUUAGACCCCCUCUUUUUGGGAUCCUUUGGGCACUUGGUAGCUCGAUUGCAGUUCCUGCCCUCCUUGAGAGACAGCCACGUGUUCCCCAGCCGAGUCCCUGGGGACGAGUGCCCUGGCACUUGGCCAGCCCUUGCUCUGCGCCCCCGCCCCCGGCCUGCAGCCCGUAAGCAGGGUCCAGGCCCCCUUGCUUCUCUGGGUUGGGUCUCGUCCCACUCGGUGAGGUUGGCCACAGAUGAUCCCCACAGACUGCAGGGAAGGUUGCAGGCUUGUGGAGGAUACUGGGUGCGCUGGGACCCCUGAGGCUUUGUGACCUUCCUGUAACUCGGGUCCAGGUCUCUGCUCUGCUGCUCCUGGCACCAUUGAGAUGGUCUCCUCUCGCACCCUGUAAACAGGGCUGUGCCCCCCCAGCCCCUCUGACCUGGGGGGAGGAGGCCUCCUUUAGCCCUUUGGGCUCUGUAGCAGCCACGAUGGGUGUCUGAAGUAAUGGCCUUUGUGUCCCCAGACACGAGGCUGCUUUGAGCCCUGAUUGAGACUGCCUGAGGCACCCGUCAGCUGGCAUUCAGGGCUUUACAGGUUUUCUCUGGGCUUCAUGCCCCGCAGCCAGCUGUGUGCAGGGAGCACCGCCCUGUAAGCAGGGUUGCCGGUGUCUGUGGUAACCUUCAUGGUGCCGUCCUAGCACUUCUGUCCGGAGUCCUGGCCCUUCGUGCUCUGCUCCUGCCUGGCCCAGGUGUCGGCAGCCCAGACCACAGAUUUCUGCCUUCCCCACUUUCCACGGAUAGAGGACAGUGGCCACAGGCCCAGAGGAAGAAGCAGGGAAGACAACAGACAAAUAGGAGUUAACCUAUAACCAGGGCAGAAAACAGUGCCAGCCCACCGGGAGACAAAGGUCCCUGAAGAGCAGCUGGAGAAGAAGGAACAGAAAGCAGGACAAGAAAGCUCAGAAACAACAAGUGUGGGUUGGUGUGGGCAGGAGGAAGAGAGGCACAUGUUUAAUAUAUGCUUAGAUAAGUACAGAUGGAGACUGUCAUGUGCAUCUCUACACUUUCAAACACUCAGUAGGAGCAAGCUGCUGCACGCUUCAAUUUGCACUAUGGACUCGGUCUUGGGUUGGCCCUAUUUGUAGGCAGUGAGGUUGAGGCGUUGUGCGUAUUUGGUUGGCUGCGAUUUGUAGGCAGUGAGGUUGAGGAGGUGUGCUAGUUGUGCGUAUUGAUAUGUGGCGGUCUAGGUUUUUGCAGGUUGUUUGCUGUUGCUAGUUUAGGAGUUGAUCAAAAUAGAUGUGACUGAAGGUAGCGUGUAGGGUUUUCUGGGUUGGGUUGUCAGUGUUGGUGUGGAAAUGCAGUUGUGCGCUCAGUUCGGUUAGUGGCUUGGCUGUAGCUUGCUUUAGCCGUAGGUUGUGGGGCCAGUUUGAGGCUGUUUGUGGUGCAAUUUGGUUGCGUCUGUAAGUUGAAGCUCCAUGGGUGUUUGAAAAGGUUCAUCUCCAUCCCCAUACAUGAAGAUCUGUGUUCAAACGAUCCUAGCGGUAGUUGGCAUGCUUAGCGUCCAACCGGAUGUGCACAAUCGAACAAUAAACAGUAUAAAAAACCUUUUCACCUUGUGCCUGGUGCUCUUCUACACUGAAAGGACUUGGCCAUUACCCUUUCCUGUUGUGAGCUGGCUGGAGGAAUAAUAAACUUUCAUUUUGUCUACCGAUCUGAUCUGUCUUGUUGAAUAAAAAUAUGUCCUGUUCUGAUUUAAAAAUAGUCAAAUAAUAUGACAGGUGAUGCCUAGUCACCAAUUGACAACUGUAAAUGCACUGUAGGAAAUCAGUCCUGAUUUAUUUGAGAAAAUAAAAAAUAAUGUACGGUCAAGUUGUGGUGCUUGGGUGCAAUCUGUUGAAGUUCAGCUGUCCCUUGUCUCCAAAGAAAAAAAUGGUCCCAAUAAAAAGAAAAUGGUCAGAAAACUG